GACGAACGCUGGCGGCGCGCUUAACACAUGCAGGUCGAACGGAAAGGCCUGCUUUCCCUUGUGGAUUGCGGGUACUCGAGUGGCGAACGGGUGAGUAACACGUGAGUGAUCUGCCCCCAACUUGGGUAUAAGCCUGGGAAACUGGGUCUAAUUCCCGAUAGGACUGCAGGGUGGUGCCUGUGGUGGAAAACGAUUUUCUAGUGGUUGGGGAUGAGCUCGCGGCCUAUCAGCUUGUUGGUGGGGUAAUGGCCUACCAAGGCGGCGACGGGUAGCCGGCCUGAGAGGGUGGACGGCCACAUUGGGACUGAGAUACGGCCCAGACGCCUACGGGAGGCAGCAGUGGGGAAUAUUGCACAAUGGGCGGAAGCCUGAUGCAGCGACGCCGCGUGGGGGAUGACAGCCUUCGGGUUGUAAACUCCUUUCGACCGCGAGGAAGCCACCUGGUUGGAAGGGUGGUGACGGUAGUGGUAGAAGAAGCACCGGCUAACUACGUG
rnacentral:rRNA from 1 species